AACGAACGCUGGCGGCAUGCCUAACACAUGCAAGUCGAACGCCUCUAGCAAUAGAGGAGUGGCGCACGGGUGAGUAACGCGUGGGAACCUGCCCUGGAGUGGGGGAUAACCGAGGGAAACCUCGGCUAAUACCGCAUACGACCUGAGGGUGAAAGAUUUAUCGCUCUAGGAGGGGCCCGCGUCGGAUUAGCUAGUUGGUGAGGUAACGGCUCACCAAGGCGAUGAUCCGUAGCUGGUCUGAGAGGAUGAUCAGCCACACUGGGACUGAGACACGGCC
rnacentral:rRNA from 1 species